rnacentral:rRNA from 1 species
UCGACCUGAGAUCAGAUAAGAUUACCCGCCGAAUUUAAGCAUAUUAAUAAGCGGAGGAAAAGAAAACAACUGUGAUUCCCCUAGUAAUGGCGAAUGAAACGGGAUCAGCCCAUCGCGUAACUGCAGGUCAUCUUGGCCUCGUGGCAUGUCGCGUUUGGGAUAGUCUCAUCGGGAGCCGGUCUGCCAGUCAAAGUCCAACUUGACAGUGGCCACUGCCCACAGAGGGUGAUAGGCCUGUAAGGCGGCGGUCCGCUCCUGCCGACUUUUCCCCAGAGUCGGGUUGCUUGGGAGUGCAGCCCAAAGUGCGAGGUAAACUCCUCGUAAGGCUAAAUACGACCCCGAGACCGAUAGCAAACAAGUACCGUGAGGGAAAAUUGAAAAGAACUUUGAAGAGAGAGUUCAAUAGUACGUGAAACUGUGUGGUGGUAAACGGAGGGGUUCUCGAAGUCUCCGUGGGGUACUCAACCUUGGUGGCGGGCAGCUGGGCCGAGUGCGAUCCGCAAAGACGCCUCGGCCUGCUGCAGCCUGCCUCUCGGGUGCAUUUCCCCCGCGGUUCACGGCAGGAACCGUUGCGACCGGACCGAAGGCCCCGAGUGAAGUUGUCGCUUAUGGUGGCAGCCCUGGGUGUCCUGGCUCUGGCUGUGACGGGUACGUGAGAGGACUCGUAUAGCGAGCAACGCUCU